AUGAACGCUGGCGGCGUGCCUAAUACAUGCAAGUCGAGCGAACGGACGAGAAGCUUGCUUCUCUGAUGUUAGCGGCGGACGGGUGAGUAACACGUGGAUAACCUACCUAUAAGACUGGGAUAACUUCGGGAAACCGGAGCUAAUACCGGAUGAUAUUUUGAACCGCAUGGUUCAAAAGUGAAAGACGGUCUUUCUGUCACUUAUAGAUGGAUCCGCGCUGCAUUAGCUAGUUGGUAAGGUAACGGCUUACCAAGGCAACGAUGCAUAGCCGACCUGAGAGGGUGAUCGGCCACACUGGAACUGAGACACGGUCCAGACUCCUACGGGAGGCAGCAGUAGGGAAUCUUCCGCAAUGGGCGAAAGCCUGACGGAGCAACGCCGCGUGAGUGAUGAAGGUCUUCGGAUCGUAAAACUCUGUUAUUAGGGAAGAACAUAUGUGUAAGUAACUGUGCACAUCUUGACGGUACCUAAUCAGAAAGCCACGGCUAACUACGUG
rnacentral:rRNA from 1 species